rnacentral:rRNA from 1 species
CAAGUCUUGACAUCCCUCUGAUCCUCUAAUAUAGAGGCGGCCUUCGGGACAGAGGUGACAGGUGGUGCAUGGUUGUCGUCAGCUCGUGUCGUGAGAUGUUGGGUUAAGUCCCGCAACGAGCGCAACCCUUGAUUUUAGUUGCCAGCACUUUGGGUGGGCACUCUAGAAUGACUGCCGGUGACAAACCGGAGGAAGGCGGGGAUGACGUCAAAUCAUCAUGCCCCUUAUGACUUGGGCUACACACGUACUACAAUGGCUGGUACAACGGGAAGCGAAGCCGCGAGGUGGAGCCAAUCCUAUAAAAGCCAGUCUCAGUUCGGAUUGCAGGCUGCAACUCGCCUGCAUGAAGUCGGAAUUGCUAGUAAUCGCGGAUCAGCAUGCCGCGGUGAAUACGUUCCC